UGCAACCAUCAGUUGUCUUGGUCCUUCUGACCCCAUUCGUCGGUGCUACUUCAGUUCCUUACCCCUUCCCUUCUGACCCUGGGCGGUGAGAUCCUCUUUCUCCGGCUGGUCCGCGGCAAGUGGCACUCGAACAGGGACCUGAAGCGUGAAGGCAAUUAAAAGAAAAAGAAAGUGCAGGCAACAGCCUGUUCCUCAUGUACCUUCGGUUUUUACGGACGGUUCUUCUUCAGGAGUGGCUACUGUAAUCAUUGACGACGGAACAAACCUCGUUAAAGAAACUUCCUUGACUUCAGCUCAGCGUGUUGAACUGUAUGCUGUCAUUAUGUCUUUUAAACAUUUGCCUUCUAUAUCUUUUAAUUUGUUUUCUGAUAGUAAAUAUCUUAUUAGCUUGUGAUUUCUUCUGGAGACUGCGAGCAUAGGACAUACUAAUGACCCUGAAUUAUCAUCCUCUUUUCGUUUGCUUCAACAGCUUAUUCGUUCCCAUGAUGGUCCUGUCGCAGGUCUGUAUAUCCGUGCUCAUUCUAACUUGCCUGGUCCAUUGACUAAACUUAAUGCGACUGCAGAUGUUUUAACUCGAUCUAAACGUGAUCUUUAUCCUGUACAUUUUCCUCCCAAGAAUAGAGUUGAAGUUACUCCUCCUCCUCAAUCUCUUUUCCCUAAAGCAGGACAUGUCCCAAUUUACCGUACUCCUCCUUUCCGUUCGUCAUGCUGUCAAGAAUGGCUAAUAUACUGCAUUCAUUAUCUUCAUACUCUUGAUACUCAUGGUCCAUGUCCUGGACACCCUCAUAUUAUGGUAAGUUAUGAUCAAACUGCUUCACAAGCAGCACAGCAGUUGCACGCUUUACACCGUCAGUCAGCGGCUACAUUACACACACAAUUUUCCCUUACUGGUGAAGCCGCCCCACAAAUUGUUAAGCAAUGCCCACAAUGCUUACCUCACCUUCCCGUUCCACAUUAUGUUGUUAAUCCUCGUGGAUUAUUACCUAGACAUUUAUGGCAAAUGGAUGUUACUCAUAUCCCGUCUUUUGGGAAAUUACAGUUUGUUCAUGUCACUAUCGACACUUAUUCUGGUUUCCUCUGUGCUACAGCACAGACCGGAGAAGCUACUAAACAUGUUAUCACUCAUUUAUUACACUGUUUUGCUUUCAUGAACCUUCCCAAAAUUAUUAAAACAGAUAAUGGGCCCGCUGCUUUUGCAACAUUUUGUAAUUCAUUACAAAAUUACCCAUAUUACAGGCAUUCCAUAUAAUCCUCAAGGACAAGGUAUUAUAGAACGUGCAAAUAGAUCUUUAAAGCUAACUAUUGAAAAAAUAAAAAGGGGGGAAUUGUAUAGAACAACGCCACAUAACCUUACAAAUCAUGCUCUGUUUAUUUUAAAUGUUCUCACUGUUGACAAAUUUGGCUGCUCUGCAGGGGGAAGGUUGGUGGCUGAGCCAAGGUUGGCCUCUCAAUCUCCGGAGGUCCUCUGGAAAGAUCCGUUAACCAGCACUUGGCGUGGUCCUGAUCCUGUGUUGAUUUGGGGACGUGGUCACGUGUGUAUCUUUCCCAGAUCAGCGCCUGGACCUUGCUGGCUUCCUGAGCGCUUAGUCAAGCAAAUAGAUGGCUCGCCACAGCUCACCUAGUUCAGAAGAUGAAGAAGCUCUGCACCUCUCCGGAAAAUUUGACAGUGUUGAUUGAGAAAAAGAAGAAGAAGAGGAGACCACUUGCCAGGACGACUCAAAGGCGUGAUGUUCCAACUUGGGGACAAAUUAAACAACUGGUUUCAUGAGUUCAAGAGUCAGUGAAACAACAGAAUAAUCCUGUUACACCUGUAACUUUAUUUUUGGUUAUGUUGGCAACCAUUUCAUGUGUUCCCUCUGUUAAUGCAGCAACUUACUGGGCCUAUGUACCUGACCCUCCACUAUUACAACCCAUAUCUUGGUCUGAAGCAGAGUUUCCUGUAUUUUACAAUGAUAAGUGUUUAUGGGCCUCUUAUUGGGAAUAUAAAACAAAUCAAUAUGUCUGUAAAUUAUACUAACUGGUUUAGUACCCAUCCUGUCUGUCUUAGCCCAUUGAAUCUGGAAACUGGAUGUGUAAAGGCUAUUAGUUAUGAGCAUACAGAUGUUUAUGAGGGAACGGAUCAAUUAGUUUGUCAGGCUCUCCAGGCAUCCUUCGUUUUACAGGAACCAACAUUACUCUUACAUGCCCGGCUACCAGCCGACGAGAGGAUCUUAAGGAUACCAUCAUUUGGUAUAAAAUGGGCAAGUUAUUAAUAUUAGAGGUCAAAUCUCAUAGGCCUCACCACUUAGGGAUUCCGCUAUUACUAUAGCCAAGGUUACAGGUGAAGAUUCAGGAAAUUAUUUCUGUAUGAAGCGUUUACUUGGAGGACAAGGGAUACUUAUAGCUGGACAUAAGGUUACUAUGCUUAACAGAAAAUCAAAAAAUCAAUUGCCUCCCCUUAUGACCGUUAACUUUCCUGGAUCCAAUUUUGAACGUUGCAAUGCAUCUUGGAAUAAUAACCAAAUAUGGUGUACUAUAGGUUAUACCAAGGUGUCAAUUCUUAUCUCUUCUUUUCCCAUCAUAGAUAGGUUUAUCACAUUUCAAAAGAACUGGGAUAUAUGGAAACUAGCACUAACUUAUUCCAAUACACCUGUUAUAACUUGUGUUGCUCCUCCAUAUACACUUUUGUGUGGUUCUAUUAACAUUGGUAAUUCUUCCAAAGGAGGAUAUAAUAUUAGCUGUGUUAAUUGUAUUUUUAGCAGUUGUGUGUUCCCUUCUGCAGGAACGCAAUCUGUGCUUAUACUAAAGCAACCCAUGUAUGUUAUGGUGCCUGUACAUCUGAGAGAACCUUGGUAUGAAGAUACUGGAGUACAGGCAUGGGUGGAAGUCUCUAAAGCCUUGCAGAGGAGACGCUUUCUUGGGUGGCUAAUAGUAAGUUUACUUGCGUCGGCUGCUCUGUCUGCUACCGUGGCUACUGCCGUUCUUGCUCUUUCACAGAGUAUUAAUCAUGCUCACUUUGCUAAUCAGUUAUCUCAACAUACCAGUCUUGCUUUAUCUUUACAAAGUCACAUAUAUUUACAGAUUAAUAACAAGUUAGAUGAAUUUAAAAACGCAAUUUUGGGGAUUGGAGAUCAGAUGGCAGCAUUAAAAUUGAGGAUGCGUUUAGCUUGUCAUGCAAAGUAUACAUGGAUGUGUGUUACUCCUUAAAAGUACAAUGACUGUAUUUGGGAAUGGGAAAAAGUAAAAAUGCAUCUGCUGAGUGUUUGGUCAGAUAAUAAUAUUAGUCUUGAUCUUAAGAAAUUAAAUGCUGAAAUUCAGGAUAUACAAAAUACACAUCUUGAUGAUGUUUCGCCAGAAGAUGUAAUUCAAACUUUACUGGAUCAUUUAAAGUGGUUAAACCCUCAGUCUUGGAUUACUGGAAGGUUGUCAGGAUUUAUUACCCUGGCCAUAAUUUGCCUAUUAUUGAUAAUAAUCUUCUCAUGUCUGUUUCGUAUCCUCAUGGAAAGUACACCACUCUCGGCACUAAACUUCAUGGAAUUAUUUUGCAGCAAAAGUUAAAAAAUAAAAAAGGGGGACCUGUGGGAAGCAGUCAGCCUUGAGAGCAGGUAAGGACAUGCCAGGCAUGCCGCCACUGCUCAAAGGGACUGUCCCUACUUGUUCCCCUCCUUGUUCCAUUCCGUGGGAGAUAAAUCACCAGGGCCCAGAGAUCAGAAAGAAUGUAAAAUGAGACAAGCAAAGCUGUCUUCCCCCUGCACAUGCAGGUUAUUUUUGAUGCUUCUGGGUUUAUGGGUUUCCUCCCAGGGAAGUUAACCUUGAGCCGAGACAGUCUGUAGAUAAUGUAAACCACCAUCUGGCAACCUUCCUUUUUCUAGUCUAGAUAAUCUGCAACUGUAGCGCAAUAAAAUUUGCCUUGCAACCAUCAAUUGUCUUGGUCCUUCUGACCCCAUUCGUCGGUGCUACUUCAGUUCCUUCUGACCCUGGGCGGUGAAAUCCUCUUUCUCCGGCUGGUCCGCGGCACACAUGAAUAUAUGUUUUUGUCUUGCUGUACUGCACCUGUGCUGUCUAGUAACAGAUAUUUUGUCUGCUAGUAGUGUUCUAGAUUAUGUCUUUCCAAAGCACUCAGGCAGUGCACCUAUUCUGUAGUUGCAGCUGAUGCCUGAAUGUAGCCUAGCUGACAAAUUAUUGAUUAAUAAGAACUUGAAUUUCUCAAAGAUUUGUACUGUUAACCAAAAUCUGAGCAAGGAGUCUCAAAAGUAAUUCUUAGCCAGAAUUACAUGUUAAUGAACCAUUUAACAGUGUGAAUCAAGGAACAUCAGUGUAAGGAUUUCUUUUAAUUUAUUUUUUACCUGCUUGAGAUAUCAGUUAAGGUUUGCCAGCUUGGUUGCAGAUGAACGGACGUUUGAAGUUCACCAAACUACUUAAUGUGGGAUAGGAUAAUAGACUUCCAGCGCCCUCAAGGCUGUGACCUUGCAGCCAUUUUACAUAGCACAUCCUCCUCCUAUAGGGAUGAACCUUUCCCUGGCCCGAAAAGUAGCAGCUCUGUUGAAGCUUUGCUUAUUGUAACAGGCUUUUGUUUCCAGGUUACAUGUCUGUGGAAGACUUAAUUCUGAAUAGAGAUAUAGAUAUUACUGGAAACUAAUUGUUUUUUCUAUUAUACUCUGAUUUAUCAAAAAAGUAAAACAUUUAAACUGUGCUACAGAAAUUCAGAAGUUGUCUUGCAAUCUUUAAACAAUAAAUGAAUGAGUUGCCCUUAAAAAAAAAAAGGAUUAAGCAGUUAAGCUGUUGGUCCCACAUCAGACAAAUUUUCCUAUACCUUCUGUCAAUAUUGUUAACAGAGACUGUUAUUUUAUUAA